rnacentral:lncRNA from 1 species
AAGCCAACAACACGGUUGAAGGCAUUACGAUUUUCGUACCGAAAGACAGCGCAUUCAAGGCUCUUAAGAAGCCUUCAUUGUCAAAUCUAACUGAUGAUCAGUUCAAAUCAGUGCUCCUUUACCAUGCCUUGCCACGAUACUAUGCCCUUGCGGACUUCAAUGACCUAAGUGAGAAAGGCCUUAUUAGUACACUUGCUGGUGGCCAAUACACUUUGCAAUUCAACGAUGAGUCUGGUACCGUCCGCCUCGAUUCCGGAUGGAGCAAAACAAAAGUCACUAGCGCAGUACAUACGUCCAAGCCAGUCGCAGUCUAUCAAAUCGAUAAGGUCCUUCUUCCGGAGGCCAUUUUCGGGACCGAC